GUAACCCAUACAUGACUUCUCUAUGGAAAGGGGAGACCCUGAAGGUAACCCAUACAUGACUUCUCUAUGGAAAGGGGAGACCCUGAAGGUAACCCAUACAUGACUUCUCUAUGGAAGGGGAGACCCUGAAGGUAACCCAUACAAACCAAUGGAAGUAUGGAGAUACUUUUGUGGCCACAAAAGUAAGGGGUUAAAUAUGUCCUGAGCUUUCUUAUAUCUCCUAGACAUGGGACAGACACUUCAAAACCUUAUUCCUUAUGAUUUAUUUUUGGACUGUCUUUUUUUCCAUUUAUGAAUGCGUAAUUCAAUACAUUUCUAUGGGCUAUAGUAGUAAAUAUUUCAUUUCGAUACCUAAAGGGGUCCUAAAAUUCAAAAUGAAAUAGCUAAAUCAUCCAUUGUAUGAACAUCUUAAAACAAUUCCAUAUGUUAGCUUAGUUUUUUUUUCUUUAACCUCUUGAGAUGGGUUAAUGUGUUUUUAUUUUAAUUUUUUUAUUAACAGAAUGUUAAUGAAUGACAGAAUGUUAAAAUUAGGUGAAACAAUUAUUUAUUUAUUUUACACUUUUCAAAAGGAACCCAAUUCGUCGAACGACCCCUAAACUUUCUAAACGUUCUAAAUGAUCUAAACAUCCACUAAAAAACCAAAACACUUUGGAACGGUCUGAAUUGUCAGCCAAAUAUUCAGGAGAGACUUGGUGCUUUUGUUUUUGUCAGAUGGGUUACAAGAGCGAGGAUCUGUCUUUGAUUAUUUUCAGUGUGUUUUGAGUUUGGAGAAUUACCUGUCAAGUGCAUGUGUGUCCUUAAGAGCAGCAGUUUAACAUCAGCACUACCCCACACAACUCCUGUAACAUCUCACAAUAUCUCCAGUUUAUCUCUGCUCCAUGAUCACUAGCAUGUUAUCAUUCCAGAAGAGGAGACUUUUUAACUUUGAGCAUUUUAGUUUUCUCUGUCACAUGGAGUAAAUUAUAAUUCCCCUCUCUAAUUAAUGUUAAUGGAAGCCAUGAAGAUUCAGGCUGAGUGUCAGGAAGAGCCAGGAGGUGUCCGGACCGUGACAAAGUGAUGUUAACAGCCUGCCAGUUUCACU
rnacentral:lncRNA from 1 species